rnacentral:rRNA from 1 species
GACGAACGCUGGCGGCGUGCUUAACACAUGCGAGUCGAACGGAAAGGCCCUGCUUUUGUGGGGUGCUCGAGUGGCGAACGGGUGAGUAACACGUGAGUAACCUGCCCUUGACUUUGGGAUAACUUCAGGAAACUGGGGCUAAUACCGGAUAGGAGCUCCUGCUGCAUGGUGGGGGUUGGAAAGUUUCGGCGGUUGGGGAUGGACUGGCGGCUUAUCAGCUUGUUGGUGGGGUAGUGGCUUACCAAGGCUUUGACGGGUAGCCGGCCUGAGAGGGUGACCGGCCACACUGGGACUGAGAUACGGCCCAGACUCCUACGGGAGGCAGCAGUGGGGAAUAGUGCACAAUGGGCGGAAGCCUGAUGCAGCAACGCCGCGUGCGGGAUGACGGCCUUCGGGUUGUAAACCGCUUUCGCCUGUGACGAAGCGUGAGUGACGGUAAUGGGUAAAGAAGCACCGGCUAACUACGUG